rnacentral:rRNA from 1 species
UACGUAGGGGGCUAGCGUUGUCCGGAAUCAUUGGGCGUAAAGAGCGCGUAGGCGGCCAGAUAAGUCCGGUGUGAAAGUCACAGGCUCAACCUGUGAAUGCCGCUGGAAACUGUAUGGCUAGAGUCCGGAAGGGGCGAGUGGAAUUCCUGGUGUAGCGGUGAAAUGCGCAGAUAUCAGGAGGAACACCAAUGGCGAAGGCAGCUCGCUGGGACGGUACUGACGCUGAGACGCGAAAGCGUGGGGAGCGAACAGG